rnacentral:rRNA from 1 species
CUUGACACAUGCUAAUCGAACGACUAAUUAGUUUAAUUAUUAUCUAAUAUUCUAUAAGUAAAGUAGUGGUGUACAGGUGAGUAAAAGAUAAUUUGGCUACCUUAAAGUAAGGGUAAAUCUCUUAUAAAAAAAAUCAAAAAAAAGGAAAAUCAGAAUUUCUGCUUUAAGAUGUUAUUUUUUAUCUCGGUGUGGUAGUAGUAAAGGUAAUGACUUUUCUAGCUAACAUUCGUAGUCGUGACUGAGAGGUCGAUCGACCACAUUGGGUCUGAAAAAACCCCAAUGCGUAUUAGUACAGCAGUGAGGGAUAUUGGUCAAUGGUCUAACGACUGAACCAGUAACUUGGAAGAAUGUAAAUAUAUUAUAUAAUAAUAUAGCAACGAUUAAUUCGUAUAAAAUUCUAAAUAGAAUAAUGAUAAUGACAAUUUUCUAUUUAUAAGUCUUGACCAAAUUACGUGCCAGCAGUCGCGGUAAUACGUAGAAGACUAGUGUUAGUCAUCUUUAUUAGGUUUAAAGGGUACCUAGACGGUAAAUAAAACUUGAAUAGAGUACUUAUUUGCUAGAGUUUUAUAAGAGAAGGAAGAACUUCUGGAGUAGUGAUAGAAUACGUUGAUACUAGAGGGACUGGUUACGGCGAAGGCAUCUUUGUAUGUAAAAACUGACGUUGAGGGACGAAGGCUUGGGGAUCAAUAAGGAUUAGAUACCCUAGUAGUCCAAGCAGAAAAUGAUGAGUGUCAUAGGCUAGAUACGAAUUUGGCCUAUAAAUGAAAGUGUAAGCAUUCCACCUCAAGAGUACUAUGGCAACAUAUAAACUGAAAUCAUUAGACCGUUUCUGAAACCAGUAGUGAAGUAUGUUAUUUAAUUCGAUAAUCCGCGAAUAACCUUACCACAACUUGAAUAAUAUUAAUUUAUUACAAGCGCUGCACGGCUGUCUUUAGUUAAUGUCGUGAGAUCUGGUUAACUCCUAAAAUUAACGAAAACCCUCAUUUUAUUUUUAUACAUAAAAUGGUUCUCCAGUAUAGUGGAAAGAUAACAGGGAUUAAGACAAGUCAUCAUGGCCUAAAUGUUGUGGGCUAUAGACGUGCCACAUACGCCUUUACAAAGGGAUGCGAUAUUGUGAAAUGGAGCUAAUCCCCAAAAAAGGAUAUAAUAUGGAUUGUUGUCUGUAAUUCGACAGCAUGAAUAAGGAAUUACUAGUAAUCGUGAAUCACCAGCGUCACGGUGAAUUUAAUCUCAGCUAGGUACUAACCACUCGUCAGGCGCUGAAAGAAGUAUGUGCAAUAAGUUUGGUUUAUUUAUAUAUUAAUAUAUAUAAUUAGUUAUAUAAAUAUAUAUGUAUAAUUUUCGUAUGCAUGAAUUUAAUU